CCGAAAGUUCGAAUGGGCAGAUUCAUCGUCUGCGGAGCGUGGCUCACGUGCGGCGCGCGAUGUACGAGACGGUCGCUUAACGGCGAACCGUCGAAUGCACGCGCCCGCCGCGUUAUGUUCGGCUCCGUCGGCGUGCACUUCUCCCCCAGUAGGACGUCGCGACCCGCUGGGUGUCGGUCUACGGGCCGAGAUCGUUGACUCUACCGCGCGCCCCAGGGCGCGCGGUUGCAGACGCUCGGUUUCUCCCGACCGACUGCUCGGCGGUAAAGCACAAGGUAUGGAGCCGCACUCGAAUGCGUUCAGACCCGUCGGCAAGCCCGGCCACAUUUUUUUCACUCUGGGUGCGCGGACUUGCGCCGUCCUCGGAGUUGGUCAGCUGUUGGUCGGCGGUGUUUCUCGAACAGGCUGAUAUCAUUUACGACGAAUACCUGUCGGCGACGCUAUUGCUUUGGGUACUUUCAGGACCCGUCUUGAAACACGGACCAAGGAGUCUAACAUGUGCGCGAGUCAUUGGGACGUUGAAACCCAAAGGCGUAUUGAAAGAAAAGAUCGGCCUAGCGUCGAUUGAGGGAGGAUGGACGGGGCGCCGGUUCGCGCCGGGCGCCGUCCCGCACUCCAGGGGCGUCUCGCUGUCGGCUUCGUUGACAUGAGGCGCACCAAGAGCGUACACGUUGGGACCCGAAAGAUGGUGAACUAUGCCUGGUCAGGACGAAGUCAGGGGAAACCCUGAUGGAGGUCCGUAGCGGUUCUGACGUGCAAAUCGAUCGUAGGAA
rnacentral:rRNA from 1 species